AGGGGGACCUUCGGGCCUCUCGCGUCAGGAUUAGCCCAGGUGAGAUUAGCUAGUUGGUGAGGUAAGAGCUCACCAAGGCGACGAUCUCUAGCUGGUCUGAGAGGAUGAUCAGCCACACUGGAACUGAGACACGGUCCAGACUCCUACGGGAGGCAGCAGUGGGGAAUAUUGCACAAUGGGGGAAACCCUGAUGCAGCCAUGCCGCGUGUGUGAAGAAGGCCUUCGGGUUGUAAAGCACUUUCAGUUGUGAGGAAGGCAUAUACGUUAAUAGCGUGUGUGUUUGACGUUAGCAACAGAAGAAGCACCGGCUAACUCCGUGCCAGCAGCCGCGGUAAUACGGAGGGUGCGAGCGUUAAUCGGAAUUACUGGGCGUAAAGCGCAUGCAGGCGGCUUGUUAAGCCAGAUGUGAAAGCCCGGGGCUCAACCUCGGAAUAGCAUUUGGAACUGGCAGGCUAGAGUCUUGUAGAGGGGGGUAGAAUUUCAGGUGUAGCGGUGAAAUGCGUAGAGAUCUGAAGGAAUACCGGUGGCGAAGCGGCCCCCUGGACAAAGACUGACGCUCAGAUGCGAA
rnacentral:rRNA from 1 species